CAGCCGUAAACUAUGCUCGCUAGGUGUCAGGCAUGGCGCGACCGUGUCUGGUGCCGCAGGGAAGCCGUGAAGCGAGCCACCUGGGAAGUACGGCCGCAAGGCUGAAACUUAAAGGAUUGGCGGGGGAGCACAACAACGGGUGGAGCCUGCGGUUUAAUUGGACUCAACGCCGGACAACUCACCGGGGGACGACAGCAAUAUGUAGGCCAGGCUGAAGACCUUGCCUGAAUCGCUGAGAGGAGGUGCAUGGCGUAGACGUCU
rnacentral:rRNA from 1 species